rnacentral:sRNA from 1 species
AGCAGCCGCGGUAAUUCCAGCUCCAAUAGCGUAUAUUAAAGUUGUUGCAGUUAAAAAGCUCGUAGUUGAAUUUCGGGGUUAGUAGGUUGGUCAUGCCUCUGGUAUGUACUGGUCUCACUGAUUCCUCCUUCCUGAUGAGCCGUAAUGCCAUUAAUUUGGUGUUGCGGGGAAUUUGGACUGUUACUUUGAAAAAUUAGAGUGUUUAAAGCAAGCUAACGCUUGAAUACAUUAGCAUGGAAUAAUGAAAUAGGACGUUCGAUCCUAUUUUGUUGGUUUCUAGGAUUGACGUAAUGAUUAAUAGGGAUAGUUGGGGGCAUUAGUAUUCAAUUGUCAGAGGUGAAAUUCUUGGAUUUAUUGAAGACUAACUACUGCGAAAGCAUUUGCCAAGGAUGUUUUCAUUAAUCAAGAACGAAAGUUAGGGGAUCGAAGACGAUCAGAUACCGUCGUAGUCUUAACCAUAAACUAUGCCGACUAGGGAUCGGAUGAUGUUAAUUUUUAAUGUACUCAUUCGGCGCCUUAA